rnacentral:rRNA from 1 species
UACGUAGGUGGCAAGCGUUGUCCGGAUUUAUUGGGUUUAAAGGGUGCGUAGGCGGCAUUUUAAGUCAGUGGUGAAAUACUUCAGCUUAACUGGAGAGGUGCCAUUGAUACUGGGAUGCUUGAGUACUGAUGAGGUAGGCGGAAUGGACGGUGUAGCGGUGAAAUGCUUAGAUAUCGUCCAGAACACCGAUAGCGAAGGCAGCUUACUAAGGAGUAACUGACGCUGAGGCACGAAAGUGUGGGGAUCAACAGG